AGACGUCUACAUUAGAUACCCCCGUAGUCCCAGCCGUAAACUAUGCGCGUUAGGUGUAUCGGUGACCACGAGUUACCGAGGUGCCGAAGGGAAACCGUGAAACGUGCCGCCUGGGAAGUACGGUCGCAAGGCUGAAACUUAAAGGAAUUGGCGGGGAGCACCACAACGGGUGGAGCCUGCGGUUUAAUUGGACUCAACGCCGGGAAGCUCACCGGAUAAGACAGCAGAAUGAUUGCCGGGCUGAAGACCCUGCAUGACUAGCUG
rnacentral:rRNA from 1 species